rnacentral:lncRNA from 1 species
AGCUAAAGGAGCUGAGCAGGUCCAAGCAGCAACCUUUGCAGGCAGCAGCCAUGCUGGAGUUGGAGAUGCUGCGGCAGCAGUUACAGGAGACAGAGUGGAGAGUGCAGGCCCUGCAGGCCUGUGUGAUGGAGCAGAAAGCAGAGAGCCGUUCUCUGCAAGAGCAGCUGACCAAGCAGACAGCUGUGCUGGGACUGGUGCAUGGAUGCUUCAGGCAGGCCUGGCUGCAGCUGCAGCAUCAGGCAACCGAGAUAGACGCUUUACAAAUCUCCCUGGAGGCAUCCCGCGCUGGCCACCACUGGCUGCACCAGGAGAGCGAACUGGUGGUGGCUGAUGUGCGCCAGUGGGUAAAGGAGCAAAAGUGAGUGUU